rnacentral:rRNA from 1 species
UACGGGGGGAGCAAGCGUUGUUCGGAUUUACUGGGCGUAAAGGGCGCGUAGGCGGCGUAACAAGUCACUUGUGAAAUCUCCGGGCUUAACUCGGAGCGGUCAAGUGAUACUGUUGUGCUAGAGUGCGGAAGGGGCUACUGGAAUUCUCGGUGUAGCGGUGAAAUGCGUAGAUAUCGAGAGGAACACCUGCGGCGAAGGCGGGUAGCUGGGCCGACACUGACGCUGAAGCGCGAAAGCGUGGGGAGCGAACGGG